AUUGAACGCUGGCGGAAUGCUUUACACAUGCAAGUCGAACGGCUGCACGGACUUCGGUCUGGUGGCGAGUGGCGAACGGGUGAGUAAUGUAUCGGAACGUGCCCAGUCGUGGGGGAUAACGCAGUGAAAAUUACGCUAAUACCGCAUACGAUCUAUGGAUGAAAGCGGGGGAUCGCAAGACCUCGCGCGAUUGGAGCGGCCGAUAUCAGAUUAGGUAGUUGGUGGGGUAAAGGCCCACCAAGCCAACGAUCUGUAGCUGGUCUGAGAGGACGACCAGCCACACUGGAACUGAGACACGGUCCAGACUCCUACGGGAGGCAGCAGUGGGGAAUUUUGGACAAUGGGCGAAAGCCUGAUCCAGCCAUUCCGCGUGCAGGAUGAAGGCCCUCGGGUUGUAAACUGCUUUUGUACAGAACGAAAAGGUUUCUACUAAUACUAGGAGCUCAUGACGGUACUGUAAGAAUAAGCACCGGCUAACUACGUGCCAGCAGCCGCAGUAA
rnacentral:rRNA from 1 species